rnacentral:rRNA from 1 species
UAGUCAGGUACCGUCAUUUUCUUCCCUGCUGAUAGAGCUUUACAUACCGAAAUACUUCUUCACUCACGCGGCGUCGCUGCAUCAGGGUUUCCCCCAUUGUGCAAUAU